CAGGGAUGAUCCUCCCCAUUGUGCAAACGGGGAAACAGGCUCCAAGGGGGCUGUGGGUCCUUUGCGAACAGAUCAGCACUGUGGCCGAGUUCAGAGCAGCAGGAGAGGCAGGCGAGCUGUGUGGGGCUGGCGUGCCCUCUCGCGGCAGCCGUGCGCCACCAGAGCCACCCAAGCCCCAUCUUAGAGCCGCCCACGGGCCUGACUGCUAUGGCGCCACCUCCCCGGAGCUGAGAACUCUCUCCCAGUCUGUCUCCUCCUGGCUUCCCAGAGCCCCCAGAGCGGCUGUGCGCCCCGCCCCGCCCCGAUUGCCAUGGAGACCGCUAGUACACAGUUUUCUCCUUCCCGUUGUCAACUCCUCUGCCUUCUCUCCUGACUGCCAGACACUGCUCACAGCCUCAGAGGAUGGCUGUGUGUAUGGCUGGAAGACCCAGAGUGGGCAUCUGCUGUGGAGGCUGGGUGGCCACACAGGUGGGGCUCCUCUGCCUGGAUGGGGAGACCGAGGCCCAUGUUCCAGCAUUUUACAGAGCCUACCACAAUGACCUCCGACAUUUGAGCUGAGCAUCUGUGCAAGACAGCCUGGGCAGGGCUGGGGCAGCAGACAGGACCUGGUCCCUGGGGCCUGACUCUUGCAGACCUGGCCUCAGAUCCUACUACUUUUUUACAAAAUUGUUUUAAAAUAUAUUUACCAUUUUAACAAUUUUUAAGUGUACAGUUGAGUGUUGUUACCUAUGUUCACAUUGUGCAGCUAAUCUCCAGAACUUUUCACCUUGCAAAACUGAAACUCUAUGCCCAUUAAACAUCCUAUUCCUCCCCUCACCCAACCCUGGCAACCCUCAUUCCACUGUCUCUGUGAAUUGGACUAAAUACCUUGUAUAAGUGGAAUCAUACAAUAUUUCUGUGACUGGCUGACUUUUCUUAGCAUGUCCUUAAAGUUCAUCUAUGUUUCACCCACCAUUUUGACUGUUUGUGUUGUCACCUCUCUGAGCCUCUAAUUCCUUCUUAGAAUGGGGAUAAUAGUUGCUACCCUGUAGGAUAAGAUAAUGCAAGCAAAGUGCCUAGCAACCAGUAAGUACUCAGCAGAUAUAACUAUUAUAAUGAGACAAGGAAACAUGGUAAUUACAGGGCAGGUUGAUUGAUGCUAUAAUAGGGAAAAUCCAGGGACUGGGGAGCUCAAAGGAGGCAAUGAACCUAGGCUGGGCUGUCGUUUUUUCUGGGAGGUGCCUGCAUUUGAUUGGGUAUUGAUUUUCCGAAUGGGCAAAUUGGGGUUGGGUGUUCCAGACCAAGACACAGAAGUGCAGGAAUUUCCAGGUGGUGAGGGUUAGAAGUGCACAGGGGAGGUAGGCUGCAAGGCUGGAGUUAUUAGCAGGUGUCCGAACGCAAGGGCUGGAGGUGGAGGGCAGUGCCCUAUUCCCUAACCACAGCCACCCACCCCAGGCCCCGUGAAGUUCUGCCGCUUCUCCCCUGACGGCCGCCUCUUUGCCAGCACCUCUUGUGACCGCACCAUCCGCCUGUGGGAUGUAGCAGAAACAAAGUGCCUACAGGUCCUAAAGGGUGAGUGGGCUGGAUGGGACUGGGAGCCAACCAGCCAGGCCUGGGUUCCCUUUCAGACCUUGCUGUGCCACCUCACAGGUCACCAGAGGAGUGUGGAGACAGUCAGCUUCAGCCCUGACUCGAAGCAGCUGGCAUCUGGUGGCUGGGACAAGCGGGUGAUCCUCUGGGAGGUGCAGGUAUGAGGCCUGGGAUCCUGAGACACGAACCCUCCAUACUGGCCCCAGAAAGGUCUUUCCCAGUCUUCCCCAAUGCCUGUGUCCAUAACUCGCACCCAAGAUUCCCUUGCAUCUGGCUGCAGCUACCUCCCAGCCUCCCCGCACAUACCAGCUCUCAUGCCCAUGAGGUUCCCCCUGCCUGGACUGCCCUCUCCUGUCAAAGACCUGGAAACCUCCCAGACCCUGCAUUACCUCAUAUGCCCGGGCAGCCUCACAAGGAGGUCCUGGGUCUGAACCAUCUGAAGCCUAGCACCUGGCACUGCGAAGCUUCAGGGCUGUCCUCCAAAGCUCAGGGCUCUCUCCUUCAGUCUGGCCAGGUGCUGCGCCACUUAGUUGGGCAUCAAGACUCCAUCCAGAGCAGUGACUUUGCACCCAACUCAGACUGUCUGGUGAGACACAUCCCCUCUGCCUGGGCCCCACCUCAGUAGCCCUACCUGAUGAGGGAACCUAGUGUCAACAUCCACUUUUCACCUGGGAUGAAGCAGUGGUUAUAAUUCCAGACCUUGACUGGGUGACUUUGCUCAUCUGAGCCUGUCCCCUUCUCUGUAAGAUGGGGUUCCACAGGGU